GGGGAAGGUCACAUGACCAGUGACAGUUGGAUGGAGGAUAGUUGGUCAGGACUGAGAGCUGAGAUCCCUCCCUUACUGAGCUCCCCACGCCUGCUAGCCGUGGAACGCAGCGCAGGUCCGUGGUGGAAUGCAUGCCUGUGUUUCCCUGGUAACCGUUAGCCCUGUGUCCGGAAGUGACGCAGCGGAUGCAGCUGGGUGAAGGGGACGCGACGGCGGAAGUGAAGGAUGGCGGCGUCGGCGGUGUGGGGUUCUAUUUAAGUGGAUUCCGCCAUUACCACCUUCCCUGGCAGAGAAUUCCACAUCCUAAUUGCCCUAACAGUGAAGAACCCUUUCCUCCAUUGCGUUCGGAACUUUCUCUCCUCCAGCCGUAGUGAGUGCCCACGUGUCCUAAACUGUGUUCUUUUAAUAAAUAAUUCUUCUGAUAA